UUCUCAUCUCUUUUGCUCUGAGCUUUCCCUCUCAUCUCUUUCGCUCUGAGCUUUCCCUCUCUUCUCUUUCCCUCUCGAUCACAAACCAUCGUCACAUGUUUUUCGUUAAUGAGGUUUCGAGAAAGGGAAUGGGAUCGCGGUGCCGUUGAGGGCCCUCGUGCUCCGGUCUAACCGAGGGUUUGGAUCGACGGCCGUUGCAUAGUGCUACUACAAGGAUGACGAGAAGAGGAGUGUGCGACACACGGCAUGCUUGACACACAGGGUUGCAAGCCGAAGCGUGGAGUGUAGUGGGUGAUGAUAGGGAAGCCUGGAGCUGGGAGGAACCUCUUAGCGUAGAGGCUCUCGAAGGUUCUAGAAGUUCCUCACAUUUCCAUGGCUAUGCUCUUCAGUCAGAACCUCAACCCUUGCUCCUACCUCUAUCACCAACGAGCAAAUGCCUUAGAUCAUGGAAAACUUGUCCCAGAGGAAAAUACUCUUUUAUGACCAUCACGCUUCGUUCUUUUUGCACUCACGGUCACGCUAACAAAGUUCCUUCAUCUAUUCGGAAGACGUUGUUCCAUUGUUACCAGAUAUCGAUUGAGGCGAGGGUGUUGCAUUUUGAAAACAUUCGAAGUGGUAGUAAGGUCUUAAUGGAUUAAUUAGGGGCAUUCAGGAGCCUAACUUUGUGCAAUUGACCAAGUCGAUGGAUUCAUCCUUAUUUGCAAACACGAUAUGCAGGCUAUAUACAGGGAGAAUAUCAAAUAAAAGUAACUAAAAGUGCCCUGGCCUUGUUGCUAACCAGCAGGAUAUUACUUCUAGCUCUUUUGAUUGCAAAAUUGGCUUUCUUAUGGAAAUCUCAUCUAUCAGAGAAUUACCUGAUAUGGUAAGAAUUAUGAAUAACUCAUGUAAAUAAUGAUAUUUGAAUAUGAGAAUAACUUUUCUUUUGUUGUUUAUCUGUCUUUAUGGGCCAUUGUUAGCCCAAUUAUUUUGACACAUGUUCUUUUGUUUCUUUUGGAGGUUGAUAAAAAGAUGAUUGUAAAAAAGAGGAAAAAUUAUGCUAAUUUUACGAACUAGAAAAAUAAUGAAUUAAACCUACAAUAUUAAAAUAAAAAUAAUGAAGUUGUAUUUUAUUAAUUUUUUCCUUGUUCAUCCUUUUUGCUAAUGCUACUAAAAGUUUAAUGAAUAGACAAAGAAAAUUAAGAUAAUGGGAGUGAAUAUAAGG